rfam:Puccinia sorghi strain RO10H11247 Scaffold_91, whole genome shotgun sequence.
GUGUCUGUAGCCUAGUUGGUAAAGGUAGCAUUCUAUUAUGAGUCUCAAAAUUUCUGAGGUUGUGGGUUUGAUUCCCAACAGGCACA